AUGGAAACUUUCAAGUCAGCUGUAGAAUUAGUAAAACAAAACUGCCUCUUUUCUAGACUGGACAUUAAAGAUGCUUUUUAUAGUCUAAAAAUUAGUCUUGAGGACAGGAAAUAUUUAAGAUUUAAAUGGAAAGAAAACUUUUUUCAGUUUACUGCUAUGCCUAACGGUUUAUCGUCCGCUCCUAGAGUGUUCACAAAACUACUAAAACCAGUGCUCUCCUCUUUGAGGAAAGAAGGAUAUGUAAAUUGUGCAUAUAUAGAUGAUAUUUUACUCAUCAGUGACUCACAUGAAGAAUGCAGUAAUAAUGUAAAAAGCUCUUUGAUGUUAUUUGAUAGCUUAGGAUUUACUAUACACGAUAAGAAAUCAGUUGUUACACCAACUACAAAAAUUGAGUUUUUAGGGUUUGAAAUAGACUCAGUUAAUAUGACUGUUAGACUAACUGCUAAGAAAGUGGCGAACAUUGUAAAUUUAAGUGUUGACAUGUUGGGAAAAGUAUUUAUUACUGUGCGUGAGUUUGCUAAGCUAAUUGGGAAAUUAGUUGCAGCUGAACAUGGUGUUUUAUAUGCACCUUUGUUUUACAAAACCUUAGAAAUACAAAAAGACUUUGAGUUAAAAAUAAAUAAAGGAAAUUUUGAAAGCAAAAUGAAGCUUUCAAAGGAAUCUAGAGACUGUAUAAAUUGGUGGAUUCUCAAUUUACCAUAUAGUUUCAAACCUAUUGUAUUCAAAUCGCCAGACAGAAAAAUUGAGUCGGAUAGUAGUAUGAUAGGAUAUGGUGCACAUGAUGUUACAAAUAAUUUGGAUAUGUCAGGUAUUUGGUCGAAAGAGGAGAGACAAAAACAUAUAAAUUAUCUUGAGCUAAAGGCAGCCUUUUUGGCCUUAAGACAAUUUUGUGAAAAUUCACACGGAGAACAUGUCCAAUUAUUUCUGGAUAACACUACAGCUAUAAAAUAUUUGAAUAAAAUGGGCGGAAGAAAAACAUCACUUAAUAGACUAGCUAAACAAAUUUGGUUAUGGUGUAUGCAUAGGAAAAUUUGGUUAAGUGUUUUCUUCAUAAAAGGAAAGUUAAACAUUAAAGCAGAUGCACUUAGCAGGCAAAAGCUUAAUGCUGAUAUGGAAUGGAUGAUAGUAGACAAUAUAUUUGCUCAAAUCAUGGACAAGUUUGGACCUUGUGACAUUGACCUUUUUGCCUCAAAAUAUAAUUACAGGUUAGAUAAGUAUGUUUCAUUUGGACCAGAUGUUAAGGCUUUUGCAGUUAAUGCUUUCUCUUUGAACUGGAGUGAUUAUUACGCAUAUAUUUUUUCCACCUUUCAGUGUAUUGAGUGCUGUAUUACAGAAAAUUUGUCUAGAAAGAGCAACAGCAGUGGUGAUAGCUCCGUUAUUUUCGACACAACCUUGGUUUCCUGUGAUGCUGAAAUUAGUAUGCAAACAACCCUACAUUCUACCAAAAGUUCAAAAUAUCUUACAAAAUCCAAAAACAAGUCAAAAUCAUCAGUUAAAAAAUAUGAGACUGGGAGUUUUCAUGGUCUCAGGGAAAAAUUGUGUGAAAGAGGCCUUUCAAAAGACGCUGCCAAUAUCAUCAUUGGAUCAUGGAGAGAAAGUACACAAAAACAAUAUGGGUCAUAUAUCCAAAAGUGGAUGCUUUUUUGUAACGAAGAAAAGAUUAAUCAAUUUAAUCCAUCUAUAAACAAUGUUCUAAAGUUUCUUUUCAAUUUAUUUGAAAAUGGAUUGGGUUACAGUGCUUUAAAUACUGCUAAAUCUGCUGUGUCAAGUUUUGUGUAUUUGAUAACUAAUGUUCAAAUUGGAAAACAUGUCCAAGUAAAACAGUUUAUGAAGGGAAUUUUUAACAAAAGACCUUCUCUUCCAAAAUAUAAUGUCACUUGGAACAUUGAAAUUGUUUUAAAGUUCUUAAAAAGUUUGAAACCAGUGAAAGAUAUUUCAUUAAAGAAGUUAACAUUAAAAUUGGUAAUGUUGUUGGCUUUGACAACAGGACAAAGAAUCCAAAGUUUGUUUCUUAUUGACAUUCGGAACCUUGAAUUAGGAGAAACAUAUGUAAAAAUUAGAUAUGGAGAUUUGCUCAAACAAACAAGACCAGGAUAUCAGUUGUCAGAAUUGUUUAUUGAGGCAUAUAAACCAGAUUAUAGAAUAUGUGUUGUGUAUACCUUAAAUGAAUAUUUAGAAAGAACAGCAGCACUUAGAAAUGAUGUAACACAAUUAUUUGUAAGUCAUCAAAAACCGCACAAAGCUGUCAAAAAGUGUACUAUAGCUAGCUGGAUUAAAAAAGUUCUUGUUUUAGCAGGCAUCGAUAUGACUAUUUUCUCGCCUCAUAGCACAAGAGGAGCUUGUACUUCUUACGUGAGUGGUAAGAUACCUAUAGAUACUAUUCUAAGAACAGCAGGAUGGAGAAAAGAUAGUGUUUUUAGAAAACAUUACAAACGACCCACUACUAAUGACAGUACAUUUAGUAAUGAAGUCUUAAAUUCAAAUGGAAAAUAA
rnacentral:sRNA from 1 species